CUCCAUCAACAUCAUCAUUAGUAAUACCAAACAAUUUCAUGUUCCCUUAGAUCCCUUCCUUUUCCUAUGGACAAUCUAUGCCAACAGCAGCGAUGUUUUUACUGUAUCAUGAAUUCACAGUUUACAAACAUAAAAAUUAUUCAUGAUACUGCUUUCAGCUUGAAUCUUCCAGCCCAGAGAAAUUACCACAGUGAUGGGCAUGAAUAAUCAAUCAGUGGUGUAUAUCUUUCUCAGCUCAAUAUUUUUUCAGUGAUCUUGUAAUGGAGAUGAGAAAAAAUUCUGUGUGCAUGUUUGUAUUUAUGCAUUAAUGGCUGAGAGUUUUAAUUAUUAUGUAUUAUUUCUAUUUAAGGCACCAGACAUUUAAUCAUCUGACUACCCAGGCUCUUCCUCAGUAUUCCAUCAAGUUUAUGAAUAAACUUAUGUAAUGACACAUGGUAAAGGACAUUUCCUGACAGUCAAUGACUGACUGGAGUUGCUGAGGGAUAGAGGCAAAUAGCUGCAUAACCAUCUGUAGGAAAAGGACCAUACUGACUUCUCAGAAUAAAAUCUUUGGCUAACAGCUUACUAAAUUUUCCUUUUUUUUUUUCUAAUCAUAUUUUUUCCUAGGUGUGGUCUUCUAGAACCUCUUGGAGUAUUACAGAAUGAAAGCUGUAUACUUUCAGACCAGUUAGCCAAAUAUGCUGCUUUUAGCAUUUUUCACCAAUAGAGAAUAAUGGAAGUCAUUGUAACCUGUGGAUCAACAACAUUUUUCCAACAUGUUGGCAAUAUACUUUUCUGUGAAGGAUUUCAAAGAGUCAUAUGGAACACAUUAUCUUAAAACAAAAUAGCAAGAGCUGGGCCAGCAGGUUUAAAUACAUACACAAAAAGUUUUGGAAGUGCCUCUAAUGGCAGCUGGACUCCUGAGGCUUCCUUGCAUCCAGGGACACCCACACCCCAAUGGAGGAAGAGGAGGCAUGAGCACUCUUCCCAUUGGCUGGGCUGAAGAAUACGUACCCCAGAUGGAUGAGCAAAACGAAAUACUGAAAGAAAAAUUAAUAUCUCGUCUCUGGUUUGAAGCGGAGAGGGCAGAGGUACUGCUUGUCAUAGAAGGCAGGUAUAUUGUAUGUGAACCAGCUGACAGCAGCGAAAGAGGCAACAGUGAACUGUCAUCAUCAGUAGAGAAAAAAUACCCUAUUCUUCGCACAGCAUUUUACAGACCAAGAACAGAAAGGAAACACAAAGCAACAACCAAA